CGGGGGCUCACACAAAGCGGUGGAGCAUGUGGUUCAAUUCGAAGCAACGCGAAGAACCUUACCCGGGUUUGAAAUCCACGGAUGGGUCUGAUGAAAGUCGGAUACUCUGCCCGCAAGGGUGAAACGUGGACAGGUGUUGCAUGGCUGUCGUCAGCUCGUGUCGUGAGAUGUCGGGUUAAGUCCCUCAACGAGCGAAACCCUUGUCUCUAGUUGCCAACGGUUCGGCCGGGGACUCUAGAGAGACUGCCGUUGUGAAAACGGAGGAAGGUGGGGAUGACGUCAAGUCAUCAUGGCCUUUAUGCUCGGGGCUACACACGUGCUACAAUGGUCGGUACAAAGGGAUGCAAAGCCGUGAGGUAGAGCAAAACUCAAAAAGCCGACCCCAGUUCAGAUUGGAGGCUGCAACUCGCCUCCAUGAAGAUGGAAUCGCUAGUAAUCGCGGAUCAGCUACGCCGCGGUGAAUAUGUUCCUGGGCCUUGUACACACCGCCCGUCAAGCCACGAAAGCUGGCAGUACCCGAAGUCGCGUACCCAACCGCAAGGAGGGAAGCGCCCACGGUAAGGCCGGUGAUUGGGACUAAGUCGUAACAAGGUAACC
rnacentral:rRNA from 1 species